GAUUUCCCCGCUACACGAAAACCCAUUAAUUCUAUAGGGAUGGAUUGUGCAAGCAUGAAUGAAAAAUGUAGGGGUGUGGCCCCUUUGUGAUUGACACAUGGGUUAGACAGCUCUGGCAUGCUUCACACCAAGCACAAGACAGUAAGAAAUGGCGCUGUUCCUUCCUCUAUGAAGAUUGCAGUGGAGAAUGGAUGCCCUAUCCGGAUAUGCCUUCAGGGCAUGAGAGAUAGGGCCGGGCUUGCCGGCUUUAACAUUCAUGGCAUAGCCUGAUGGGCCUGUCAAUCACUUGCACCACAGAGCCCUUCUCAUGAAUAUUCAUGAGGGGAGAUGAAUGAUUCAUGCAGGUGUUGCCUGGUCGGUGAUUGACAGCUCAGUGGAACGAGUGCUGUUUAUGGAUGUGCCACCAGGUGCUCAGGGAUUCCCGCGCUGGUGGUGUAUGUAGCUUCUGGCAUUUCCAUGCACUCGCCCAGGCCGUGAACAUUCCCGGGAAUGUGCAUCUGUGAUUCGGGAGCGCUUCCUCAGAGGUGAUUCUGGGAGUUCCAACCAACGGCAGGAGGGAUCUCGGGGUGGGACAGAAGAUGCUCAGGGAGCAGACGCAGAAAGAGGCAUCAGCUGUUAUCAGGACUAACCGACCCAACGAUCGGCGCAGAUAAGGUUCCAGCUAGUCUACAGAGAAGACCUAACGUGAGAGGACAUAACAUCACAGGAAACCCUACACAGUCUUCAGCCAUGUUGUCCUCUUCGCUCCCAGAGGAAAUGGUCCUGAGGAGGGAUGCUGGCAUAAAUGUGAUCUGACACCUUCAAAUGGGCCCAUUUAGACACAUCUUUGCAGUUUCUCAUCCUGACAAGCAAAAGCCCUCUGAGGACAACUAAAGUACCAUUACAGCCAAAUGCUGGUCCCAACAAGCUUGGUGAAGGAGCUGCUCUGUCAACAAUAGUUCAUCACCUGACUGUGUUGCCUAGGCACAUUGGUUCAGACAGAUCUUCUGACUGUAGCAAUUGCUGUUGCUGGGUCAAGAAAUGGAGGGUUGAUGUAGCAAAAGUGACUUCUUGGGACUUAACUGUCAAUACCUAUUCACACGACCCAUUUGCCAACGUACUCGAGCGCCAAAACAACAACUGACUAUGCUCAAGUAGUAAUCUGUAUGGACACUGAACAGCGUGAAUUUUCAUCUUAACAAGUGAUUGUAGUUUUUAUUUUUUAAGCAGUCAUAAUUCCAACAGCUUACUCUACUGAAGAUAGCUCACGAGUGUGGAUCUCAACUGGGGAGAACAAAACACCAAAACCUACAGUUCAUAUUAUCUAAAGGGUUACAAAUAUCAAGCCAUCCCAAAGUAUUCAUCA